rnacentral:rRNA from 1 species
UAGGGAAUCUUCGGCAAUGGGGGGAACCCUGACCGAGCAACGCCGCGUGAGUGAAGAAGGUUUUCGGAUCGUAAAGCUCUGUUGUUAAGGAAGAACGAGUGUGAGAAUGGAAAGUUCAUGCUGUGACGGUACUUAACCAGAAAGGGACGGCUAACUACGUGCCAGCAGCCGCGGUAAUACGUAGGUCCCGAGCGUUGUCCGGAUUUAUUGGGCGUAAAGCGAGCGCAGGCGGACUAGCCAGUCAGUCUUAAAAGUUCGGGGCUUAACCCCGUGAUGGGAUUGAAACUACUAGUCUAGAGUAUCGGAGAGGAAAGUGGAAUUCCUAGUGUAGCGGUGAAAUGCGUAGAUAUUAGGAAGAACACCAGUGGCGAAGGCGACUUUCUGGACGAACACUGACGCUGAGGCGCGAAAGCCAGGGGAGCGAACGGG